GGAGGGCAAAAUGGUAAUUUUGAUAUCAGGUUUUUUUUUUUAAAUUAAAAAAAAACAGACUCUCUCUCUCCUCCCUCACUCUUCUCUCUCGACCAGCAGUGCCCUCCUUCCCCCUGUUUUAACCCGUCACCUUCAAACCUCCAUAACCACCGCCACACUCCACUCCGACCGAUGAGACCGAACCCAAUCGAAUCACCGCCG
rnacentral:lncRNA from 1 species